GACGAACGCUGGCGGCGUGCUUAACACAUGCAAGUCGAACGGAAAGGCCCUGCUUUUGUGGGGUGCUCGAGUGGCGAACGGGUGAGUAACACGUGAGUAACCUGCCCUUGACUUUGGGAUAACUUCAGGAAACUGGGGCUAAUACCGGAUAGGAGCUCCUGCUGCAUGGUGGGGGUUGGAAAGUUUCGGCGGUUGGGGGUGGACUCGCGGCUUAUCAGCUUGUUGGUGGGGUAGUGGUUUACCAAGGCUUUGACGGGUAGCCGGCCUGAGAGGGUGACCGGCCACAUUGGGACUGAGAUACGGCCCAGACUCCUACGGGAGGCAGCAGUGGGGAAUAUUGCACAAUGGGCGGAAGCCUGAUGCAGCAACGCCGCGUGCGGGAUGACGGCCUUCGGGUUGUAAACCGCUUUCGCCUGUGACGAAGCGUGAGUGACGGUAAUGGGUAAAGAAGCACCGGCUAACUACGUG
rnacentral:rRNA from 1 species